rnacentral:rRNA from 1 species
AUUGAACGCUAGCGGGAUGCUUUACACAUGCAAGUCGAACGAGCGGCGGACGGGUGAGUAAUAUAUCGGAACGUGCCCAGUAGCGGGGGAUAACUACUCGAAAGCGUUGCUAAUACCGCAUACUAUUAGAUCUGCCCAUAUCGGAUUAGCUAGUUGGUGGGGUAAAGGCUCACCAAGGCAACGAUCCCUAGCUGGUUUGAGAGGAUGACCAGCCACACUGGGACUGAGACACGGUCCAGACUCCUACGGGAGGCAGCAGUGGGGAAUUUUGGACAAUGGGGGAAAGCCUGAUGCAGCCAUCCCGCGUGUAUGAGAAGGCCUUCGGGUUGUAAAGUACUUUUGGCAGAGAAGCGGUACCUGCAGAAUAAGCACCGGCUAACUACGUGCCAGCAGCCGCGGUAAUUC